ensembl:snRNA LOC120094433 U7 small nuclear RNA
CAAAAACAGCUCUUCAAGAAUUUUUCUAACAAGAUUUCUGACUUGGUCAGAAAUCCCAA